UGGAUGAAGACAGAGCAGUGGAGUUCGACACUAGCAUGUAUCACUUUGGUGAACAAGAGCUUGAGUGAAGCUCAUAAGAACAACAGUAAACUGUAGAAGUGGUGCAAGAAGCAGAACAAGCUGCUCGCCAAGUGUUUCAAGACUCUCAAGUUUCAGUAACAGUCCACUGCUAUUCCA